AGCAGUAGGGAAUCUUCCGCAAUGGGCGAAAGCCUGACGGAGCAACGCCGCGUGAGUGAUGAAGGUCUUCGGAUCGUAAAACUCUGUUAUUAGGGAAGAACAUAUGUGUAAGUAACUGUGCACAUCUUGACGGUACCUAAUCAGAAAGCCACGGCUAACUACGUGCCAGCAGCCGCGGUAAUACGUAGGUGGCAAGCGUUAUCCGGAAUUAUUGGGCGUAAAGCGCGCGUAGGCGGUUUUUUAAGUCUGAUGUGAAAGCCCACGGCUCAACCGUGGAGGGUCAUUGGAAACUGGAAAACUUGAGUGCAGAAGAGGAAAGUGGAAUUCCAUGUGUAGCGGUGAAAUGCGCAGAGAUAUGGAGGAACACCAGUGGCGAAGGCGACUUUCUGGUCUGUAACUGACGCUGAUGUGCGAAAGCGUGGGGAUCAAACAGGAUUAGAUACCCUGGUAGUCCACGCCGUAAACGAUGAGUGCUAAGUGUUAGGGGGUUUCCGCCCCUUAGUGCUGCAGCUAA
rnacentral:rRNA from 1 species